GUGUGUGUUCUGGUAAUCAUCACGCGAUGGGGACCGUUAACUGUUUACACAGUCACGUCAUGGGGACCGGUUGCGCUUUGGGGACCAAAAUCCCGGUCCCCAUGAGGAUAACCCUUUUAAAUGACUACUAGAGCUACUCUGAAGGUGCCCGUGAAGUUUUAAGCAUUGGCCCAUAUGACAUGUUUUUUGGUGAGUGUGAGUGUGUGAGCAUUGCUCAUUGGUGGCCCUACUGUUUCUAGUUAGUACUGCACCCACUGCUUCACACACACACAUCUUCCAAAUAUGGUUGGGUGCCACCCACUUCCUUGUCCCCAUUAGGAAUGAUUCAAGCAGCGAUGACAUUUUCAGCAUCAAGAGGUAGCUAUCAACAGUAAAAGAAGAUUAUUUGCCGGAGAAACUAGCUAAGAAGAUAAGAACAUGUGCAGAGGAGCAACAGUAAAGCAUAAGAAAUGCCACCACGGAUCAGCAAUUCAACAUGAUAUUUCACAGUAAAAGUAUUGAUGCCUUCAGAGAAGAUGGCUCAAUUGGGUGACAAGUUAAUGACAGACGUCCUAACUCCAAAAUGAAAAAAAUUGAUGUUAAUGGAGAACCCCACCUUUGUUUAUUUGCCCUGGAUGACAUUAAAGAAGGAGAAGAAAUCGCCUAUAAUUAUGGAGGUGAAGACUGCCCAUGGCGAACACAGACGACCAGCAUCACUGUUAACACCAUGGAGGAGGAUGAUUCAGAUCCUGUCCACUCAGAGAGUCUGAUGGAUUGUGCCUUUGAGCCAAAGACCACACCUGAAGAGGUACAACUGACCAAAAGAAGAAAACACCCUGGAAGAGGACAGACGUGAAGGCAGUGGAAAGGCACAUGAAUCGAUUCAUCACAUCUUGAAUUGUUCCAGCAAAGUUUGACUGUGAGAAGUGUUAAAGGGCUGAACCAGAAGUUCUUAAGGACCGGAGCUGGCAGAAUGUGAAAUUCUACAUAUAUAACCGCAUUACAGCCAACAAGAGGAAAUUAAGUAAAUAAUGGGAAGAUUACCACCAGUAAGCGGUUGCUAUGUGGUUGUCUGAAAUUAAAAAUAUCUUACAAAUUUGACUGAAUAAGAAUUAUUCUUUGUAGGGAUAUAGAUAGCCCGUCACUGUUUGAUAAGUUUAUAUUCACUUCAACCACAUUACACUAAUAGUCCUAUCAAAUUCUGCUUCAUUGUAAGGCGGAGUUCAUGAACAGCAAGAUUUUCUGUACAAAGUGAUGCUUUGCAUCCCUAUCACCAUUUACAGGUAUCAUGUUAUAUCUCUACAUUUUCUAUCAACAACUUUUGUUCUUUUUUGGCUAGACUUUAUUAGUUUUAAACAAACGGCUCUAACAAAUGUAAUAAUGGAAGGAC